GUUGGGUCUUGGACUAGAAAAAGGAUUAAAUAGGAACAACUGUUUCUUGUUCAUCAACUAGUAAUCUAAGGAUUUAUUUAUUCAUUUUAUGUAUUGAUACAGUGGGGUACAUAUAGAUUUAGGAAUAUACAAUAGGCUUGGCAUAAGUGGCCCUCCUCGUGGUAUCCCUCCAACUGCAGGAAAACCUACAAAGGGGUGGAGCAAGCAGUCGCGAGAGAUGAGCCUGGGAAAACUGAAUGGAUGCAUUUCCCAUGAGUGGAGCAUUGUUAUCCACUGGAUCCACCCCAUCGUGUUUAUAUCAUCAGUCUGAAUUAAUUCAAGAUUUUCAUUCCUUUCCAGGGCUUCUGUGCCAGUCUUCUGGGAAUACAGAAUUGUUCUUUAAGUGUGGGAGAUAUUGGAAAUGUACUUCAGCAUGUUUGUGGAAGAAUAUCUUUUGGAACCUGCUUGUGGAAGACAAAUAUGACAAUUUGCUGGUUGAAUUCAAAGUCAUGGCCAUGGACAAUAGUCUGAUUGUAAAUGUUUCCUGAAUCUCACUUUAAACUUCAGUGUGACGGAGUUCUCUUCUUCUGGAGAACAGAAAAAUGUUUUCAGGCGUCUCCUGUCAGCAAGCAAAGCAGCAACAAGCAGAAAUAAUUCAUCCUGAAAUAAAGAGUAGACGCUGGACGGGAGACGCUGGAUGUUCUAAAGACGUAAGAGCGAAAAAACAGAUGUAUUUCUCAACAUUGAUCUGCUUCAACAAAUCCUUCCUUCUCAUGGCUGGCUGCCUCCACUUCAGUCACACCAUGGAAGUGGAACACAUGAAUGAUAUCCAAGCAACUAAGAUGUCAAUAACUUUCAUAAUCAUCUCCGCUUUCUGUGUCCAUCUUGGACACCAUGGAAGUGGAACUCAUGAAUAUCUAAGCAACGAAGAUUUCAAUAACUUUCAUAAUCUUCUCUAUUCUCCAUGUCUAACUUGGACACCAUGGAAGUGGAAGAUACAAAUGAUAUCCAAGUAACUAAGAUGUUAAUAACUGUCAUAAUCUACUCCAUUCUCUGUUUUCACCUUGGACACUAUGGAAGUGGAAGAUGCAAAUGAUAUUCAAACAACUAAGAUGGCAAUAACUUUCAUGAACUUCACUGUCAAUGUCCAAGACUUUGGACACUAUGAAUAGAAGACCAAAGAAAACCACUUCUAUACUAUACUCAGACGUGGCAGAGGAAUGUUCUCCCCAUUUAAUCACAGUAGAAAACUCAUGUUAUGAACAGAUAUAGAUAUUGAUAUGAUUUUGCCACAAAUGUAUAUCCAUUUCCUCUAUUUAGACUGUGAAAGACCAUAUUGUCAUAUAUGGAUGUCUAAAUUUCAACAGCACCAAUGAUAUUAAAAGAUAUGCCCCUUCAAAAAUGAAUCCAAGUGUAUUAGACUGAAAUGUUAAGUUCAUAUUUCUGCUCAGUUUCCCAGUUUUAAAAGGGGUCUUUGCAUUGUGUUUGAUUACCCUCUCACAAUUGCAUUAUUUAUCCUUGAAAUAAGUUUUUUCCUAGUGUUAUUUGGGUUUUUCAAAAGAGAAGGGAAGAAAAAGAGAAAGAAAAUGCCUGAUCUUCACAAGGUCCAAUUUUGUUGGAAUAACAGUAUAUCUGGCAAUAUAGUUGCCUUGGGGUACACUAGUUGCUUGCUGGGAUAGUUGGGAUGAUGGAAGGUCUUCAUGUCUACAGAUGGGAUAAGGCUGUUUUCAACCAAUGAGUAUCCACAAUGACUUUGAGUCCCAACACUGUUCUGCUUUGCCUCACAUUUUAUUCCCAUUAAAUUGGAAAUAUCUAA